UGCCAGCCGCCGCGGUAAUACGGAGGGGGCAAGCGUUGUUCGGAAUCAUUGGGCGUAAAGCGUAUGUAGGCGGCUAGAUAAGUCGGGCGUGCAAGCCCGGGGCUCAACCUCGGAAUUGCGUUCGAAACUAUCUGGCUUGAGUGUGGGAGAGGAAGGCGGAAUUCCCAGUGUAGCGGUGAAAUGCGUUGAUAUUGGGAAGAACACCGGUGGCGAAGGCGGCCUUCUGGCCUAACACUGACGCUGAGAUACGAAAGCCAGGGGAGCGAACGGGAUUAGAUA
rnacentral:rRNA from 1 species